rnacentral:rRNA from 1 species
GUGCAGCAGGCGCGAAUUUUCACAAUGGGGGAAACCCUGAUGGAGCGACGCCGCGUGGAGGAUGAAGGCGUUUUCGCCGUAAACUCCUGUCAUGCGAGAACAAGAAAGUGAUAGUAUCGCAAGAGGAGGAGGCGGCUAACUCUGUGCCAGCAGCCGCGGUAAUACAGAGGCCUCAAGCGUUGUUCGGAUUCAUUGGGCGUAAAGGGUGCGUAGGUGGCAUGGUAAGUUGAAGGUGAAAUCUCGGAGCUCAACUCCGAAACUGCCUUCAAUACUGCUGUGCUCGAGGACUGUAGAGGAGAAUGGAAUUCACGGUGUAGCAGUGAAAUGCGUAGAUAUCGUGAGGAAGACCAGUGGCGAAGGCGAUUCUCUGGGCAGUUCCUGACACUGAGGCACGAAGGCGUAGGGGAG